GACAGAGGUCCCGAGCGUUAGGCGGAAUCACUGGGCGUAAAGGGCGCGUAGGUGGCGCGACAAGUCAGUGGUGAAAGCUCGACGCUCAACGUCGAGUCGGCCACUGAUACUGUUGGGCUGGAGCACUGUAGAGGCUAAUGGAAUUCCGGGUGUAGCGGUGGAAUGCGUAGAGAUCCGGAAGAACACCGGUGGCGAAGGCGGUUAGCUGGGCAGUUGCUGACACUGAGGCGCGACAGCGUGGGGAGCAAACAGG
rnacentral:rRNA from 1 species